UACGUAGGGUGCGAGCGUUUAAUCGGAAUUACUGGGCGUAAAGCGUGCGCAGGCGGUGAUGUAAGACCAGUGUGAAAUCCCCGGGCUUAACCUGGGAACUGCAUUGGUGACUGCAUCGCUGGAGUGCGGCAGAGGGGGAUGGAAUUCCGCGUGUAGCAGUGAAAUGCGUAGAUAUCGGGAGGAACACCGGUGGCGAAGGCGGCGAUCUGGGUCGAUACUGACGCUGAGGUGCGAAAGCGUGGGGAGCAAACAGG
rnacentral:rRNA from 1 species